rnacentral:lncRNA from 1 species
CAUUAGGAGUAGAAAGGAAGACCCCGAGAAGGAAUUUUCAACUAUAAGAAACCUCACUUAAGAAGAAGUAGUUGAAGCUGGGCUCCGAACUAUGAGAGUUUGCUUUUGUUUUAUGUUUCUAAGAGUAGUCUAUCUAAUCAAAUAAGGGAUCAGACCGCUCCUGGUGUUCGAACUAGUCAUUAAUGGUCGGCUUCAUUGGUAUCCUUUCGGUAUGCAUUGCGAACACUUUCAGUUUUAGCG